ACUGCUGUUGCUAUUUCAAGGGUCAUCGCCAAUCAUAAAUCCAGGACAGUGAAUGCAACAUGUAUUAAAACAAAAAGUGCAGUAAGAAACCACUACAGUUGACUUUUUGUGCAUUAUUUAUUAAGAGGAACGAAAAGUGUCACACCAAGUUAUUUUAAUAUCAGUAAUAUUUUGUGAAGAUUACAUUUUCCGGCAAAAAAAAUAAACAACAAAAGUAUCCUAAUUGUUGUCCACUAAUAGCCACAAUGACACCAUAGCGGAGAAAUGUGCAUAGUUUUGACUUGGAGAGGGCGGGACUCAUGUUUGGAGAGCGCAAUGAACUAGGCGCGGCUAAAACGAGCCCCAUCCAUCUAUCACACGUGUAGACAAAGGGGGGACUCCACAACACAAAGCAGCAUGUGUCCUAACAAACUUUAUUUUUUUUUCCCACCCCGCACGGACGCACAACCACACGCACGGAGAAAAGCAUCUUCAGUAAAAGUUGCCGCUCCUGUUGGUGCGUCAGCGCUCAAACUUGAGCACAAAGCAGCAAAGGUAGAGCGACAUAGACACUGGUAGGCAGGCGGGAGAGAGAGAGAGGAGCGGUCCCUCUUUUCCUUUGUCUGAUGCUCUAUCGCGAGCUUUUUGGACACUACUUGAAGAGACGUCAUCAUGCUCAAAGUACAGUAUGUGUAAUUGAAUUAAUAAUUGUGAACUUUAACAGAAGUGAAGCUGAGUUUGUGUAGAUGCUUUGUUUUGUUCCUUCGGGAUGUUGCGACUGAGGACAAAGCAGAUGCUCGUCAGAAGUUCACAGCGAAUGCGCCUUUUUUGUGUGUGCGCGUGGAGCUGGAAGCUAAAACUCAGACAACUAAAUGUUCUUCACAUUUUUGGGAAGCAGAUGGAGAAACUCCAAAGUCAUCUAUGAGGAAGCUUUGAGGAUUAAGAGACAGCAUACUUUUAUUUUUGGAGAAGAUGAGGACUCGGGAUUUAAACUCCUGGAGCAGCUUUGCCUUGAGGGAUGUGUUCAAGGCAUACUUGGAAAUGUAAAAACCUGGAUAUACUCUGGAGAUUAAAUGUUCAGCGGAUUGCAGAGUUAUUGAAUUUUAAGCCUAUGUGGUAAAGUGGAAAAAAGCAGCUUCCGAGCUAUGAGUCCACAUAUCAACACUGUGUAGCAGUGACUGCUCUGAAGAUGGGACUGUAGGAGUGAUGAGGUCCGGGGGAUCACAACCUUAAUUUUCUCCAAGACAGACGCUUAAUUAACACUGAAGGUAUCCUGGCUGGCUCCAGACCGACAACUGGAAUGUUCAAGGGAAUUAAGGUGCCAACCCCAUCAUAUACUUCACAAUAUGCCCUUCAAAUCCCCAUUCUCUCAUGGCUCUGAACUUUAUGCAUUCACUUCUCAGAACAGCACCGCUGCUUUGGAAGAUAUCUGACAACUGUUACAGAUCAUUCCACUCAUUCCCAAAUGGAGACUGCAGGGACACACUAUAGCAUUUGGGACAGGUUCCUCAUACUAAUGGCUGUUACAGUGUCCAACACCAGCAUUGUGGCAAUGAAUGUGAUUUUCUUAUACUGUACAAUUUUAGAAUAUGAAACUCAAAAAGUACCACAUUUUCCAGACUAUAAACCACAACUUCUUUCCACACACUUUGAGCCUCAUUGCUUAAACAGUGAUGGAGAGAAUUUACAUAUUUUUACGGGCUAUUGAGCUUCAUGCCUCUAACCUCUCAACCUCUCUUGGUUGUAGGGGUUUGUAAAAAUGAGUGGGGUGCCCUGUUUUGCAUAAGGGUUGAUCUCACAUUAGGGAGCGGCAACAGCAUACAGUGUGACCAUACCUUCUCGUGUCACUUAAAAAAUCGGUCGACUAUCCCCGAUGUUUAAAAACUGUGUCUGACGGGAGAGCCUUGUGAAAUGGCCCUGUCCUGAGACUUUGGAAAAUAAUUACCGGCGUCUGGGGAACACACUUUAAUACCAAUUACGGUAUAUGGCAUGCAUGUUUUAACCACUUGCGGCCCGUUAUGAUACUCAGUGAGUCAAAUGCGCCCUAUACAGUUUAUGUUCAAAUUAUUUUUCUUUUUUAAAUUUCCUGGGUGCGGCUUAUAUUAGGUUGUGUGGAAUAGACCAGGAAUUGCGCUAAUCAAAAAAUUAAAUAUAUUGCCACAAAACUGGUGACAGCAAUGUAGUUACAUUUGUUGUGUACUCACUUUAAUUAUUGCAAAGUUUUUACUGAGGUGUAUUUCUUCCCAUAAUUUAUUUAUUCUUAUAUUCUACUUAUUCUUAUUUCUUCCACUUCCCUGCUUUGUUCUGUUAUGCAGGCUCAAGUGAUUUUACCUGAUUUGAUAUGAAUAAAGUCUUUAAACUAUUGU